CGGAAAAGGGAUUGCCGCGUUGGAAUGGGAAUCGAAGCGCGAGGUGACGCGGGAAGAUCGGAGGCGGGGCUUGUUCCUUCUUUUCUAGCGUUAGAACCAAUCGUGUUGUUGCCGAGGUCGCUUUUGUGAAAAUGUGACAUCACUCUUCCACUUGGGAUGAAUCGUUGCUUCUCUAGCACUGACAAUCUUACCUUCUUGAAACCAAGGAAACAAAACAACUUUUACUUCUUUGCCAUCCACAUUAUGGUCACUAAGCACUGUAGAAAUUCUACCACCAUUGACUUAAUAACGAGUUAACUUUAACUUGGAUGAUAAUUUUUUUUGUGUUACUUUCAUGAUUAACUUUCAGAGUUUUUCUUUCACGCUAAAAAGUUCUCAGACUGAUACUGUUUUGACCAUCUAUUUUGAUUCCAGGUGACAUCUCUUCCAGAGGUGCCAUUCUUAGAAACUAAAUAUUGCAGGAUAUGAAGACAAUUUUCAUUUGCAUCAGUUUCACUCUUUUCCUUAUCCUGAAACAUUCUGUAAAAAUCCCUGUUUAAUGGAACCUGCUGCGAUUUUGAAUGCAUAGGACUGCAUCGCUGCAGCAGCCAUGGAUGAUAGGGUUGCCAAAGAAUACAACAUAGCUUAAUGAAGACUUCUUACAGAGACAGACCAGAGACAAAACCCUGAGACU